rnacentral:rRNA from 1 species
UACGUAGGGACCGAGCGUUGUCCGGAAUCAUUGGGCGUAAAGAGCGUGUAGGCGGCCACUUAAGUCCUGCGUGAAAUCUUGCGGCUCAACCGCAAGCGGUCGUGGGAAACUGGGUGGCUAGAGUGCGGGAGAGGAGAGUGGAAUUCCUGGUGUAGCGGUGAAAUGCGUAGAUAUCAGGAGGAACACCGGUGGCGAAGGCGGGUCUCUGGGCCGUUACUGACGCUGAGGAGCGAAAGCGUGGGGAGCGAACAGG